AAUAAACUUUCAAAUUUUGAGCCACCUCACUUCAUGCGACUUUAUCAUGCUCACGCUUCUUCUCGAACUUUGAAAUUCAUAAUGGCUGCAUAAUUGACGUCACAAGGACCAAAGAAUUAUAGGAUGCCUCACGAUGAUAUAUUCUACUGACUAAUUUGUGUUUACAAUGCCUUGUUGAUAUGUUUCGAAGUAUUAAAUAUUUAUGAGAUAUAGAAGAUUCAUUAGCGCUAGAAAAAAAUUUUGUUGUUUGCUUAAUGCAGAAUUAUUUGUUUUCUUUUAAAGGCAACACGUUUGUUAAGUACUGUAAUCUUCGGAUGAGUCGGAAUCAAAAUGUUCUAACGUUGUACUUGGCUUCCAGUUUAAACCUAAACGUAGGGGGGAUUUAUCGGACUCAUCGUGGGUGACAUAUGACAGUGAUAGCGAUGGGGAAAUAGCAGAAUUAAGGAUUAACCUUGACGCUACGUCGUGGUGUAAAUGCAACAAUUGCCGUCAAAUGAGCACUGAAACUGAAUGUUUUUGCUGUCACGAACUGGAAUCAAGACAUAUAUAUAUUGCCUACAAGGUGUGUACUUUUUAGCGGGAUAUACGAAACAUUAUAUGCUGAUUAUUAAGUUAUUAAAAAUAUAUUCUUUAGAAAUAAACUGUAUAGUCAAUCACGAAGAUUUCGAUCCGAUUGUUUCAAGGAAAGGAAAUCUCUGGACUGCUUUGGUUGGAAUGUAUGAUAGAGAAUCGACAUAUCUUCCUCCAAGAAAUGACGUUCCCAAUAAAACAUAUUGCUAUGCUGCUUACCGACAGUUCACGUGGUGGGUUCACAACAGACUUGGCAAAUCUGUGCGAAAGGUCAUGUGCAGUGACAAAAAUUCGUGAUGCUUAUCCAGAGCCGGACGGGGUACACAGGAUAUAUGGAAGGGCGUGUAGUUCCUGAAAAUGAGUUAACAUGGGUUUUCCAUGAUACCAAAAAUGUAUUUUAACUUAAUUAAAAAAAUAAAAAAAAAAUAAAAAAAUAAUAUGUACAAAUUACAUAAAAUAAAAAGUAAAACAAAAUUAUGUCAUUCGUGAGUAUUUAAUUGAGUUUUCGAAAAUUUCCUCUCUACAGGGCAGGGGUAAUGAAGGCUCGUUUUCUUCCCGGACGGCAAUUACAUGUGCCUUUCACCUACCAAUUAUAUUUACCCAUAAAAUCACGUGACUUAGUCUUCUUUAGCAACAAGACAGCACAUUUUUUCCCUUUCCUUUUUCACCUCGCUAAUAAUCACUCGUGGUUUGUUAUCAAUCACUAACCAAAUCUGUUAAGCAGGGCCAACAAACAAAUCGAUAAAGAAAUAUAUAGAUGUAGCCCUUUCGUUAUAAACAGACCCUUUAAAAUGACCGACCGCUUACGCCAGGUCGGGUUGUUUUGAUUCUAUCACGGAUCAAUUUCACUACCCGAGCAGAAAACGGUAUAAGAAACAAGGCCUGUGCGUCGCCCUUGUUUCUUAGGUCAUCCCUUCACCCACACAACAUCCUUUCUCUACAUACGAUUCUUCGAAUCCUCCACUGGAAAGUAGGGACACCCAAUCAAAAAACAUGUUUACAAUAUGAAAAAGAAAAUAUUUUUAAAGCUAAUUAGAAUUGUGAUAGCGGAACAACUUCUUAAUAAUUAAUUUCAUAUAGAAAUCUCGCUUCGUCGUUUUCAUGCUGCAAGACGGUGUGGUUUUGGCUCUUGUGACGUCAAGAGGUAUCCUGAUGUUUUUUUCAAGAUUUUGAAGCGUGUUUUUAAUGCUGCAAUAAUGGCGGUCGAAGCACAAGGUUUUUAAAAACAUGGAAUAAGUAAAUCGUGUUUAUGCUUUUAUUUUGCAAGUAGAUCAUUAAAUAAUACUUUUUUCUAUAAUGUUUUAAUGGUUUCUUUCGGUUAAGAUGAACUUGUUAUAACGUCGGAGGCAACCUUUAACCCAAGCCAUGUGAGAGAAAUUGGGAAAAUGGCACACUGUGUGAGCCAUUGGAUGUUGCCGGGAGUUGUCUAGUAGAGUGCGGCUCUAAUUGGGUCUGUGUAUCUCACAAUGAGCAUUAAAUACUCUUGGACUCUCCAUCUAAGCCAUGGCCUCUCCUGGAAAUAAUAGACUGGAAAACUGGUAAAAGACUUGCAACUUUCCGACGAUUCGUUUUGAACCAUACACACAGAAAAAGAUCAAUAUUUUUAAUUUAUUUCCUAAUGUGAAAACAUGUAUUUAAAAAGAUGUUGCUGUAUAAAAAUUAUUUCAAAAUUGUAUAAUACGUCAAUUUUCAAGUGAAAAAAAAUAAACAAAUGUUUUGUAGUUUUAAUUUGCCACCUUGUGGUGGUACCUGCUCCAUUGAAAACAUACCACCACUCAAUUACAUAAGCAUUCUAAAAUAGAAAGAAAAGUAUCAUACUGUUUGAAUUUUAUCAAGAGUAUUUACAAAUUGAAAAAUUAGUCGUCAGUUGACUUUAUUUGGUUCUUCUGUGAAAAAGACACCCAAUUUCGUCGUUUAUCGCUUUCCGUCGAAUGGGUAUGAAAAUUUUGUUGAGAGGUUUUGCUUACGUAAGAGCAAAGAAGGUAAUAAGUCAAGUAAAAAAGAUUUAUAUCAAAUGGCUCAAAAAAUGUGGAAAAAACCAUA